AGUGAACGCUGGCGGUAGGCCUAACACAUGCAAGUCGAACGGCAGCACAGUAAGAGCUUGCUCUUACGGGUGGCGAGUGGCGGACGGGUGAGGAAUACAUCGGAAUCUACUUUUUCGUGGGGGAUAACGUAGGGAAACUUACGCUAAUACCGCAUACGACCUACGGGUGAAAGCAGGGGAUCUUCGGACCUUGCGCGAUUGAAUGAGCCGAUGUCGGAUUAGCUAGUUGGCGGGGUAAAGGCCCACCAAGGCGACGAUCCGUAGCUGGUCUGAGAGGAUGAUCAGCCACACUGGAACUGAGACACGGUCCAGACUCCUACGGGAGGCAGCAGUGGGGAAUAUUGGACAGUGGGCGCAAGCCUGAUCCAGCCAUACCGCGUGGGUGAAGAAGGCCUUCGGGUUGUAAAGCCCUUUUGUUGGGAAGGAAAAGCAGCAGGUUAAUACCCCGCUGUUCUGACGGUACCCAAAGAAUAAGCACCGGCUAACUUCGU
rnacentral:rRNA from 1 species